rnacentral:sRNA from 1 species
UGCAGGCGCAUUUUUCAAGCCAAACGGC